CAUGCAGUCGAGCGGUAGAGAGAAGCUUGCUUCUCUUGAGAGCGGCGGACGGGAGAGUAAUGCCUAGGAAUCUGCCUGGUAGUGGGGGAUAACGUUCGGAAACGGACGCUAAUACCGCAUACGUCCUACGGGAGAAAGCAGGGGACCUUCGGGCCUUGCGCUAUCAGAUGAGCCUAGGUCGGAUUAGCUAGUUGGUGAGGUAAUGGCUCACCAAGGCGACGAUCCGUAACUGGUCUGAGAGGAUGAUCAGUCACACUGGAACUGAGACACGGUCCAGACUCCUACGGGAGGCAGCAGUGGGGAAUAUUGGACAAUGGGCGAAAGCCUGAUCCAGCCAUGCCGCGUGUGUGAAGAAGGUCUUCGGAUUGUAAAGCACUUUAAGUUGGGAGGAAUGGCAGUUACCUAAUACGUGAUUGUUUUGACGUUACCGACAGAAUAAGCACCGGCUAACUCUGUGCCAGCAGCCGCGGUAAUACAGAGGGUGCAAGCGUUAAUCGGAAUUACUGGGCGUAAAGCGCGCGUAGGUGGUUAGUUAAGUUGGAUGUGAAAUCCCCGGGCUCAACCUGGGAACUGCAUUCAAAACUGACUGACUAGAGUAUGGUAGAGGGUGGUGGAAUUUCCUGUGUAGCGGUGAAAUGCGUAGAUAUAGGAAGGAACACCAGUGGCGA
rnacentral:rRNA from 1 species